AUGUUUGCCGCGACUGUUACAGUGCUAAGAAGUGUAGCAGCUGAUCGUUCAGCUACAAGGAACUCAAGAGGUGAUGUCGGAGGUGCCAUGAAAAUCCUACUGACAUUUGAUUUUGUGUUCAUUCUACACUUAAUGGAAAGAAUCAUGAAAAUCAUGGAUGUCUUGUGUCUCAAACUUCAACAUAAAUCUUUGGACAUUGCAAAUGCAUUAGAUUGUGUUUCUAACACAAAGGUGUUGCUUGGUGAACUAAGAGAAGAUGGAUGGGACAACCUUUUUGAAGAUGUGAAAUCCUUUUAUGUGAAACAUGAGAUUGACAUCCCAGACAUGGAUCAAAAGUAUGUUGAUGUGACGAAAUCUCCAAAUAAGCAUGACAACACCACAAUUAUCCAUCAUUACAAAGUAGAUGUGUUUAAUGUUGCAAUAGAUCAACAAGUGAUAGAGUUGAAUGAUCGAUUCAGUUCUCAAGUUACUGAGCUUCUAGAUCUUUGUUCAUCAUUGGACCCGAGGCAUGAUGCCUUCAUAAAGUCAAAGAUAUGCAGACUAGUGGAGAAAUUCUAUCCUGCAGAUUUUUCUAGUCAAGAAAGAGAUCGGUUGGAGUGCGAGCUACCACAUUUCCACCUUGAUACAUUCAACCAUCCAGAGAUCAAGAACUGCAAAUCACUUGCUGAUCUAACAAAAGGGAUAGUUAAGACUGGCAAGUCUUCUGACUAUCCAAUGGUUGAGAGGCUAUUACGAUUGGUGAUAACUCUUCCGAUGUCAACUGCAACAGCAGAGCGAGCCUUUUCUACAAUGAAACUAGUCAAGACGCGGCUUCGAAGCAAAAUGGGAGAUGAUUUUCUUUGUCAUUGCACGCUAGUUUACAUUAAGGAGGAACUUGCAGCCAAGUUUAGCUCUUAA
rnacentral:rRNA from 1 species